UCGUUCCUGCCUCCCAUCUUCCAUGUGCAACAAAACUGCUAAACAAAGGUUUUUGUACUUCUUUCAAAAGCCUACAAAGGCUAUUUGAUCAGAGGUGACAAAAGAACAAAAGCAGUCUGAGUGUACACCAUGGGAAGCAGUUUCCAGAGGGGAAGUCAUUGUAUUGUUGCAGCAGAAACGCACAAGCUUUUGUGCACCAGAGUCUACUUCAUCAGAUGGAUGGACUGUAUCUCAGCCCAGUGAUUCAGUUGGCAGGAGUGACUGAUCAGGAUGAUAGCCUUUCACAACUCAAGCAGGAAGCAAAAGCGGCUCUACUCACUGUGGUUCUCUACUUCUACUAGGGAGGCUGAAGAAAAGAAGCUGGACAGGAUCACUUCAAGACAACAUAUCUGACCCUCCAUUAAUGACCAAAUCUGGUGAACCCACAACUUGUGUUGACAUGGUUUGCACAACACACAAAGCCAAACUAUGACUUAGCACAAAUGUGUGAGCUUCAUGUCCACUUUGCUCAUCCUUCUGUUCUGCUGCUGCUGUACCACUGUGAGCUAAACUAUUGUUUGGUUUAGCAUGUCAUCCAAACCCAGGCUUAGGGUUUAUUGCCUGCAGACAAACCACAAGCAGUAAGCCAUAGAGCAAACC